CAUUUUGAAAAUGAUGUACUAAAUGAUCUGUGGGUGUUUUUGAGCUGACACUUCACAGACUCAUUCUGGGGACACCUGAAGCUUUAUUACAUUUU